UACAGAGGUCUCAAGCGUUGUUCGGAUUCAUUGGGCGUAAAGGGUGCGUAGGCGGCGCGGUAAGUCGGGUGUGAAAUCUUGGAGCUUAACUCCGAAACUGCAUUCGAUACUGCCGUGCUUUGAGGACUGGAGAGGAGACUGGAAUUCCUGGUGUAGCGGUGAAAUGCGCAGAUAUCAGGAGGAACACCGAUGGCGAAGGCAGCUCACUGGGACGGUACUGACGCUGAGACGCGAAACGUGGGGGAGCAAACAGG
rnacentral:rRNA from 1 species